CCUACGGGUGGCAGCAGUGGGGAAUAUUGGACAAUGGGCGAAAGCCUGAUCCAGCCAUGCCGCGUGUGUGAAGAAGGCCUUCGGGUUGUAAAGCACUUUCAGUGGGGAAGAAAGCCUUGGGGCUAAUACCCUCGAGGAAGGACAUCACCCACAGAAGAAGCACCGGCUAACUCCGUGCCAGUAGCCGCGGUAAUACGGAGGGUGCGAGCGUUAAUCGGAAUUACUGGGCGUAAAGCGCGCGUAGGCGGUCUGAUAAGCCGGUUGUGAAAGCCCCGGGCUCAACCUGGGAACGGCAUCCGGAACUGUCAGGCUAGAGUGCAGGAGAGGAAGGUAGAAUUCCCGGUGUAGCGGUGAAAUGCGUAGAGAUCGGGAGGAAUACCAGUGGCGAAGGCGGCCUUCUGGACUGACACUGACGCUGAGGUGCGAAAGCGUGGGUAGCAAACAGGAUUAGAUACCCUGGUAGUC
rnacentral:rRNA from 1 species